rnacentral:rRNA from 1 species
GUGACGGCGUGCCUUUUGUAGAAUGAGCCAGCGAGUUACGAUGUGCGGCGAGGUUAAGUUUUGAAACGAGCCGUAGUGAAAGCGAGCCUUUAAGAUGGCGUCAUAGUCGUAUGUCGUAGACGCGAAGCCGGGUGAUCUAUCCAUGGGCAGGCUGAAGCAGAGGUAAGACUCUGUGGAGGGCCGAACCCACUUCGGUUGAAAACGGAGGGGAUGACCUGUGGAUAGGGGUGAAAGGCCAAUCAAACUCGGAGAUAUCUCGUUCUCCCCGAAAUAGCUUUAGGGCUAGCCUCGAAUCGUUUACUUACGGUGGUAGAGCCACUGGAUUCGUGCGGGGGCUUCACCGCCUACCAACCGAAACCAAACUCCGAAUGCCGUAAGUCUAUAGAUCGGGAGUCAGAACAUGUGGGCUAAGCCGUGUGUUCGAGAGGGAAACAGCCCAGACCGCCUGCUAAGGUCCCUAAAUUCAUGCUAAGUGGCAAAGGAUGUGCGUUUGCCUAGACAACCAGGAUGUUGGCUUAGAAGCAGCCAUGCAUUUAAAGAGUGCGUAACAGCUCACUGGUCAAGUGGACAUGCGCCGACAAUUCACGGGGCUCAAGCAUGAUACCGAAGCAGCGGACUGAUAUUUUUCAGUGGUAGGGGAGCUUUCUUAUCUGGGUCGAAGCUGUGUGGCAACGCAUGGUGGACUGGUAAGAAGUGAGAAUGCUGGCAUGAGUAACGAGAGUGAGGCGAGAAACCUCACCGCCGUAAGCCUAAGGGUUCCUGGGCAAGGCUAAUCCUCCCAGGGUCAGUCGGGAGCUAAGACGAGGCCGACAGGCGUAGUCGAUGCACAACAGGUUGAUAUUCCUGUACCACCACGAAUCGUUAUGACGAUGGGGUGACGGAGAAGGAUAGCUGGGCGGGGUUCUGGACGUCCCCGUGAAAGCGUGUAGGGUGCGCAUGCAGGUAAAUCCGCAAGCGCUUAUGCCUGAGACGUGAGACGAAGCUCUAAGUGAAGUCAGUGAUUCCCUGCUUCCAAGAAAAACCUCUAAGCAGAUAUCGUGGUGCCCGUACCAAAACCGACACAGGUAGGCGGGUAGAGUAUACCAAGGCGAUCGGGAGAACUAUGGUUAAGGAACUCGGCAUAAUGACUCCGUAACUUCGGGAGAAGGAGUGCCGCUCAUGGGUGAUAGGGCAUGCCCCUAAAAGCCUAGGGCGGUCGCAGUGAAACGGCCCAAGCGACUGUUUAUCAAAAACACAGGACUCUGCUAAGUCGCAAGACGAUGUAUAGGGUCUGACGCCUGCCCGGUGCUGGAAGGUUACGUGGAUGGGUUAGCCUUUCUAGGCGAAGCUCUGAAACUAAGCCCCAGUAAACGGCGGCCGUAACUAUAACGGUCCUAAGGUAGCGAAAUUCCUUGUCGGGUAAGUUCCGACCUGCACGAAUGGCGUAACGAUUUGGGCGCUGUCUCAACCAUAGACCCGGUGAAAUUGUAUUAUUCGUGAAGAUGCGAAUUACCCACGGAAGGACGGAAAGACCCCGUGAACCUUCACUACAGCUUGACAUUGAUCAUUGGUUCUGUGUGUAGAGGAUAGGUGGGAGACCGUGAAGCACGAGCGCCAGCUCGUGUGGAGUCAUCCUUGGAAUACCACCCUCACAGUAUUGGUGAUCUAACGCGGCGCCGUUAUCCGGGUCGCGGACCGUGUCAGGUGGGUAGUUUGACUGGGGCGGUCGCCUCCUAAAAGGUAACGGAGGCGUACGUAAGGUUUGCUCAGAACGGUUGGCAAUCGUUCGUAGAGUACAAGAGUAUAAGCAAGCUUGACUGCGAGACCUACAAGUCGAGCAGAGACGAAAGUCGGUUCUAGUGAUCCGGCGGCUCAGAGUGGAAUGGCCGUCGCUCAACGGAUAAAAGGUACUCCGGGGAUAACAGGCUGAUCUUGCCCAAGAGUCCACAUCGACGGCAAGGUUUGGCACCUCGAUGUCGGCUCAUCGCAUCCUGGGGCUGAAGUUGGUCCCAAGGGUAUGGCUGUUCGCCAUUUAAAGCGGUACGCGAGCUGGGUUCAGAACGUCGUGAGACAGUUCGGUCCCUAUCCUCCGCGGGCGUAAGAGAAUUGAGAAGAGCUGCCCCUAGUACGAGAGGACCGGGGUGGACGAACCUCUGGUGUCGCAGUUGUUGACCAACAGCAUAGCUGCUUAGCUACGUUCGGAUCGGAUAACCGCUGAAAGCAUCUAAGUGGGAAGCCGACUUCAAGAUGAGUUCUCUUUUUGGUAAGACCCCUUGUAGACUACGAGGUCGAUAGGCUGCAGCUGCAAGCGUUGCAAGGCGUUCAGGCGAGCAGUACUAAUUGGUCGAGCUCUUUAUCUC